AGCCCAAGAGAUCGGGAUAACACCUGGAAACAGAUGCUAAUACCGGAUAACAACAGAUGAUGCCUAUCAACUGUUUAAAAGAUGGUUCUGCUAUCACUCUUGGAUGGACCUGNGGUGCAUUAGCUAGUUGGUAGGGUAACGGCCUACCAAGGCGAUGAUGCAUAGCCGAGUUGAGAGACUGAUCGGCCACAUUGGGACUGAGACACGGCCCAAACUCCUACGGGAGGCAGCAGC
rnacentral:rRNA from 1 species